UACGGAGGGGGCUAGCGUUGUUCGGAAUUACUGGGCGUAAAGCGCGUGUAGGCGGCUGGCCAAGUGUGGUGUGAAAUCCCCCGGCUCAACCGGGGAACUGCAUUGCAAACUGGUCUGGCUAGAGUGCAGGAGAGGGAAGUGGAAUUCCCGGUGUAGCAGUGAAAUGCGUAGAUAUCGGGAGGAACACCAGUGGCGAAGGCGGCUUCCUGGCCUGCAACUGACGCUGAGACGCGAAGGCGUGGGGAGCGAACCGG
rnacentral:rRNA from 1 species